rnacentral:rRNA from 1 species
AGUGGCGGACGGGUGAGUAACGCGUGAGAAUCUGCCUUGGGGUCGGGGACAACCACUGGAAACGGUGGCUAAUACCGGAUACGCCUUCGGGUAAAAGAUUUAUUGCCCUAAGAGGAGCUCGCGUCUGAUUAGCUAGUUGGUGAGGUAAGAGCUCACCAAGGCAGCGAUCAGUAGCUGGUCUGAGAGGACGAUCAGCCACACUGGGACUGAGACACGGCCCAGACUCCUACGGGAGGCAGCAGUGGGGAAUUUUCCGCAAUGGGCGAAAGCCUGACGGAGCAAGACCGCGUGAGGGAGGAAGGCUCUUGGGUUGUAAACCUCUUUUCUCAGGGAAGAAGCUCUGACGGUACCUGAGGAAUCAGCCUCGGCUAACUCCGUGCCAGCAGCCGCGGUAAUACGGAGGAGGCAAGCGUUAUCCGGAAUUAUUGGGCGUAAAGCGUCCGCAGGUGGCGAUUCAAGUCUGCUGUCAAAGCACGGGGCUUAACUCCGUAAAGGCAGUGGAAACUGAAUAGCUAGAGUGCCGUAGGGGUAGAGGGAAUUCCCGGUGUAGCGGUGAAAUGCGUAGAGAUCGGGAAGAACAUCGGUGGCGAAAGCGCUCUACUGGACGGCAACUGACACUCAGGGACGAAAGCUAGGGGAGCGAAUGGUAUUAGAUACCCC